rnacentral:lncRNA from 1 species
GCCUGGCUGUUUAAACUUAACCCAUUUGUUUACAGGGCGCCACCAUUGACGAAAUUCGACAAGCAUUUCCAAUCCCGAUGGGUCCCCCAGGAGCGACUGGCUCACCAGGAAUGAAGGGUGAUAAAGGAGAACGAGGCCCGAGCGGAGAGAAGGUAGUGCUGACCGAUCCUAUGCAUCAAAAGCACAUGUAUAUGGAAAUUACAUUAUUUUCACUGCAUUUACUUGAUGUUUUCAAAGGGUGAUGCUGGAGCGCCUGGAAAAGUUAUUGAGAUGAAGGACAUUGAAUUAAUGUUUGAAGCCUAUGGAAUAAGGCUGCCUUUGCUGAAAGCUUUGAUUGAUAGGCUGCUGCAAGAUGGAGUAGAGGAGCUGCUUCAUGUGCUUGGCACGACCAAGAAAACAAAGGAAAGCACAGAUACUCACACCUCCAACGUCAUCACUGAGUACACAAGUUCUUUGAAAUUUGACAUCACCAGCCAGCCUUUGUCCGAGUUGGACACCCUUGAUGACCCAGAUUUAGUUUUUCCAGAGUCUUUGUCCAUUGAGCCUUUGAAUGAAACUGCAGAGGGUCCCACUUUAUGGACCGUCACUGCACUGAAAAGUGAGCAGGUGGUUGACGAGGCUGAAACCAAGUUAAAGGAAUCUGGAAGGAAAGAGAUGAACAACAGCGGUGAAUUGCCUUCGCUCAAAAUGAAUCUAACAGUAGUCAGUUCUACUUUCAAUUAUACUAUGACGGAGGAGACGGUUUCAGGGUUACCCGGACCUGUGAUGGAGACUGUUCUUCUCACUCCGGAAGAGUCUCUGAAUAAGAAUUCAGGACAAAAGAAGAAGAACAGGGAACGUGGGAAGGCCAAAGGAAAUAAAGGACGACAUAAGAGGCAAAGACAGCGCCUGACAAGUGAAGAGGACAAUCAACCAGAGGAAGGAGAAGAGGAGUUUUAUAAUGCGGAAGAAUACAGUUAUGAGUAUGAGGAGCAACUUUCACCAGAUGAUAACAACGGACAGCUUGAAGUGCAACCAAAUAAAUUCCCCCAUACGAUGGAGAAAAAGGAGGAACAAUUAACCACAUACAGUCCUGUCCAGUUAGAAACCUCCAGUCAUCCUAUAUCGUCCCCCUCAGAAAGUGAAACAUAUGCACAGGAUGAAGUGUCACUGCCUACACCUCCCCACACAACAGAACCAGAAGAGGUGCCUCAAUCUCAAUUCAGGGUCAAAAGAG